UUCCCCUAGUAACUGCGAGUGAAGCGGGAAAAGCCCAAAUUUGUAAUCUGGCUCUUUCCACAAGGGUCCGAGUUGUAAUUUGGAGAACUGUUUUCUGCACUGGGCUAUCUAUAAGUCUGCUGAAAAGCUGCAUCAUUGAGGGUUAAAAUCCCGUCUUUGAGAUAGAUGCCUGUGCUCUAUGAUACAGUUUCUAAGAGUCGAGUUGUUUGGGAAUGCAGCUCAAAGUGGGUGGUAAAUUCCAUCUAAGGCUAAAUAUAGGUGAGAGACCGAUAGCAUACAAGUACCGUGAGGGAAAGAUGAAAAGAACUCUGGAAAGAGAGUUAACAGUACGUGAAAUUGCUAAAAGGAAAAUGCUUGAAGUUACCUUUGUUAUUGUCAGUUCAGCCCUUCUCCUUUUAGGGUGUAUUCUGGCUUUUAACAGACCAACACCAAUCCUUUGAGUGCUAGAUAAGUGUAUUGGGAAUGUGACAGUCAAUUUAUUUUGGCUGUGUUAAGACCAUUGCUUUGAUAUAGUGCUUGGGAUUGGCAGAUUUGCGGCAAGCCAUUCUUUUGGUGGGUUCCUCUUUUGGGGGUCCUCCUUGCCAAUGAUGUUGGUGUAAUAACUUCAAACGACCCGUCUUGAAACACGGACCAAGGAGUCUAACAUGCUUGCGAGUACUUGGGUGAUUCAAACCCCCGUGCGUAAUGAAAGUGAUAUAUUUUUAAAUGGGAUCCCUCCUUUGGGCUGGGUGCACCAUUGACCGGUCCUGAUUAUUUAUAUGAAGGUACUGAGUUUGAGCAGGCAUGUUGGUACCCGAAAGAUGGUGAACUAUGCCUGAAUAGGGUGAAGCCAGAGGAAACUCUGGUGGAAGCUCGUAGCGAUUCUGACGUGCAAAUCGAUCGUCAAAUUUGGGCAUAGGGGCGAAAGACCAAUCGAACCAUCUAGUUGCUGGUUCCUGCCGAAGUUUCCCUCAGGAUAGCAAAAACUCACAUCAGUUUUAUGAGGUAAAGCAAAUGAUUAGAGGCCUYGG
rnacentral:rRNA from 1 species